rnacentral:rRNA from 1 species
CCCAGUAACGGCGAGUGAAGCGGCAAAAGCUCAAAUUUGAAAUCCUGCGGGAAUUGUAAUUUGAAGGUUUCGUGGUCUGAGUCGGCCGCGCCCAAGUCCAUUGGAACAUGGCGCCUGGGAGGGUGAGAGCCCCGUAUGGCGCACSCCGACUCUUUGCACCGCGGCUCCGACGAGUCGAGUUGUUUGGGAAUGCAGCUCUAAGUGGGUGGUAAAUUCCAUCUAAAGCUAAAUAUUGGCGAGAGACCGAUAGCGAACAAGUACAGUGAUGGAAAGAUGAAAAGCACUUUGAAAAGAGAGUGAAACAGCACGUGAAAUUGUUGAAAGGGAAGGGCUUGCARGCAGACACGGUUUUACCGGGCCAGCGUCGAAAAGGGGGGAGGAACAAGAACUCGAGAAUGUGGCGCGCACCUUMGGGCGCGCGUGUUAUAGCUCGUGUUGACGCCUCCAUCCCUUUUCGAGGCCUGCGAUUCUAGGACGCUGGCGUAAUG